AUUCCUAUUAUUAUAAGUAUUGUUCUACAAGUUGGAGGAAAUAUUAAAUUAUGAAAAUCAAUUUUAUAAUGAGUAAAGGUUAUUGAAAUUAGAAGGCAUAGAACGAUAGUUAAAAGUACUGUGAAGGAAUGUUGAGAGAAAGUUUAAUAAUAUGAGUAGAAAUUGUAUAAAGAUGUACCUUGUGUAUUAGGGGAGGUCUAAAUUAGCUAAAGAGUGAGUAGAAAUCUCGAAAUAAAAACAGUUAGUUUUAUAAAAGGUUUUUGUUGUAAAAAAAUCUUUAAUAUAAAGUUAAAGAUGAAAUAUCAUACGAGUUUUAUUAUAUCUGGUUUUUUAAGAAAUGAAUUUAAUUCAAAUUUGAGAGGAAAGUAAAUCUCAAGUGAAGGAGUAGAGGGGAAUAGCUUUUUAUUCAAGAAUUUUAAUUAUAAUAGUUAAGUAAUAAUAUAAGUUCUAAAUUAGGCUUAGAAGUAGCUGUAAUAGAAAAGUGUUUAAACUAAGGAGAGAGUGAUAAGUGAUUUAUUUUAGCUUUAGAAAGUAUUAAAAAAUAAGUAUAAAUAUAAGAUAUUUAGAGAUACUGAUUUCAUUAGUAGAGGGUAGUGUUGAAAUGAUGUUUGAAAUAAUAAAUAGUUUUAAAAUAAAAAUAGGUAUUAUGAAGGAACUCGGCAAAUAAUUUCCUUGCCUGUUUAACAAAAACAUGUCCGUUUGGAGGUAAAAAUGGUCUGGCCUGCUCACUGAUAAAGUUAUUUAAGAGCCGCGGUAUAUUGACCGUGCAAAGGUAGCAUAAUCAUUAGGGAUUUAAUUGGAACCUGGUAUGAAGGGUUGGACAAAGGAAAGACUGUCUAUAUAAUAUGAAUUGAAAUUUACUUUUAAGUGAAAAGGCUUAAAUAAAUCAAAGGGACGAUAAGACCCUAUAAAGCUUUAUAAAUAAUUUAAAUUUAAUUAAUUUAAUGAUUAAAGGUUAAGUUUACACUAUUUUAUUUUGUUGGGGUGAUAUGAGUAUAAGUGUUGUUAACUGCUUAAAAAAAAAUUCUAUUAUUAAAGAAUUAAUAAAAUGGAUGAUCCUUUGUAAAGAUUAAAAGACUAAGUUACUUUAGGGAUAACAGCGUUAUUUCUUUUGAGAGUUCAUAUCGAAAAAGAAGAUUGCGACCUCGAUGUUGAAUUAAAAUAUCUAUAUAAUGAAGCCGUUAUAAAAGAGGGUCUGUUCGACCUUUAAAUUUUUACAUGAUUUGAGUUCAGACCGGCGUAAGCCAGGUCGGUUUCUAUCUUUUGAAAAAAAAACAAUUACUUUAGUACGAAAGGAUUAAGUUAAUUUAAAAACUUUAAUUGUAGGUGAAAU
rnacentral:rRNA from 1 species